GCAAAUACGAUGACGGCCAUGGUCUGCCCAG
rnacentral:piRNA from 1 species